rnacentral:rRNA from 1 species
CCAAUAGCGUAUAUUAAAGUUGUUGCAGUUAAAAAGCUCGUAGUUGAAUUUCGAGAUCAAUUUGUUGGUCGUGCCUCGGUACGUACUGGCAAUUUUGAUUUCUCCCUUCUGAAGAACCAUGAUGUCAUUAAUUUGGUGUCAUGGGAAAUCAGGACUGUUACUUUGAAAAAAUUAGAGUGUUUAAAGCAGGCUCGCGCUUGAAUACAUUAGCAUGGAAUAA